AGCCCAUUCCCGUUUCCCAUUUCCGCGGACAUUCGAGGCGAGUGCGGUUGUGGACCUGGGACAUGGACGUGGACGUGAAUCUGGACGCAGACGUGGACAAGGCGUGCAAUCAAGCCGCGUGUCUGGCAGUCAACUAGUCACUCACUUUGGCCAGAGAGACUGCGUCAGUCCGUCAGUCAAAUGCUCGCUUUAAUUUCGCUUUACUUGCGAUUUGCAAAGGCACGUGGAGAAAUCUAGUUAUGAGAUUGAUUAGAAUUAUAGACCCCUCUAUGAUAAUAGUCAUCAUUUUUAAAUAUAUAUUCAUGUUUCAUUCAAGUGUAUAGCUGCAUGAGUUGCUGGAGUUGCUGCAUGACUACCGGGCAUAAUUUCUGCCCGACCGAACGAAAUAUGGGACCGAAAUGAACACAUUGCCAGGUUGGCGGCUCUGCGCACGCGCACAGUUGUUGGCCAGGCUUGAAGGAGCCCCUCUUCGUGAAUCACUCCUCUGCCUCACCCUGCAUCAACACCCACUCCCUUCUGCAUCCUCCACAUAGCAAUCUGCGGUUCGUUUUGGCCUG